UACGUAGGGGGCUAGCGUUGCUCGGAAUUACUGGGCGUAAAGCGCACGUAGGCGGAUUGCUAAGUCAGGGGUGAAAUCCUGGAGCUCAACUCCAGAACUGCCUUUGAUACUGGCGAUCUCGAGUCCGGGAGAGGUGAGUGGAACUGCGAGUGUAGAGGUGAAAUUCGUAGAUAUUCGCAAGAACACCAGUGGCGAAGGCGGCUCACUGGCCCGGUAUUGACGCUGAGGUGCGAAAGCGUGGGGAGCAAACAGG
rnacentral:rRNA from 1 species